AUUAAAACCACCUGCCUGAUAUUGUGUAAGUCCCCAUUGUGCCACAAAAGCAGCUCUGAUCCCAUCAAGGCAUGAACUCCACAAGACCUUUGAAAGUGUGCUGUGGUAUCUGGGACCAAGAUGUUAGCAGCAGAUCCUUAAAGUCCUGUAAAUUGUGGGGUGGGGCCUCCUUCAGCAUUAUCCUGCUGAAAGAGGCCACUAAAAUUAGGGAACAUUGUUACCAUGAAAGGGUGUACUUGGACUGCAAGAAUGUUUAGUCUUAAACUGUCCAGUUUGAAGGAGUCUGUGCCUGUGGUAGCCUCAGGUUCUUGUUCUUGGCUGACAGGAGUGAAACCCAAUGUGGUUUUCUGCUGCUGUAGCCCAUGCAACACAAGGUUAGAGGUUUUGUACAUGCAAAGAUGCUUUUCUUCUCAUCAGGAUUGUAAAGCAUUAUUAUAUGAGUUACUAGAUCCUUCCUGGCAGCUCAAACUAACCUGGCCAUUGUCCUCUGAUCUCUCACAUCAUCAAGGUGUUUCAGCCUGCAGACCCUCUGCUCACAGGAUGCUUUUUGGUUUUCGCACCAUUCUGUGUAAACUCGAGAAUUUAUGUUUGAAAAUCCCAGAAGAUCGGCAGUUCUUGGAAUACUCAAACCAGCCCACCUGGUACCAUCAACUAUAUCAUGGUUAAAGUCACAGAGAUCACAUAUUUUCCACAUUCUGAUGUUUGAUGAAUAAAUGAAUGAAUAAAUAAAUAGAGAUAAGCCAAAUCAUGGUUUUAUGUAUUUUUUAAUUAACAUUUUUGCAUGUGUAGGCAACACCAUCAUUUAUAAAGGAGCAAGUUGCAAAAACAAACACACAAACAAACAAACAAAAACAAUCACACUGAUAGUCUGGAACUCCAAUACUAAAGAGAAACCAUCCAUGCAUGUAAGACCAAGGAAAGACAAUGUACCACCUCACAUAAUAGCACUAAUAAGAUAUUUGUUGUAAAAUGUCCAAUAUUCUAAUGAACUAAACACACACUUAACAGAAAGCCUAUUGCUAAUGCAAUUAAAGUGACAGUAAUAAGUGGCAAUGAUUAUCACCAUAUCUGCUUACGAGCCAGUCAUUUCUUUAAAAGGUUCAGAGUUUGGCUUCUGUCUGGUUCGAGAAUCUGUCCCUUUUCAUACAGAAAACCACAUUUUUUCGUUUCUUCCAGUCGUUAUAGUUGUAAAAAUACAGUUCAGGAUAAAAGGCACCAGUUUUUCCUAACCGAUUUUGUAUUAAAAGACAGAACCAGUGUUCCAAUGUCGUCCUUCACUACUGACACCCAUACAGGAAAAAGGGG